rnacentral:rRNA from 1 species
UCCUACGGGAGGCAGCAGUGAGGAAUAUUGGUCAAUGGGCGAGAGCCUGAACCAGCCAAGUAGCGUGCAGGAUGACGGCCCUAUGGGUUGUAAACUGCUUUUGUAUGGGGAUAAAGUUAGGGACGUGUCCCUAUUUGCAGGUACCAUACGAAUAAGGACCGGCUAAUUCCGUGCCAGCAGCCGCGGUAAUACGGAAGGUCCAGGCGUUAUCCGGAUUUAUUGGGUUUAAAGGGAGCGUAGGCUGGAGAUUAAGUGUGUUGUGAAAUGUAGACGCUCAACGUCUGACUUGCAGCGCAUACUGGUUUCCUUGAGUACGCACAACGUUGGCGGAAUUCGUCGUGUAGCGGUGAAAUGCUUAGAUAUGACGAAGAACUCCGAUUGCGAAGGCAGCUGACGGGAGCGCAACUGACGCUUAAGCUCGAAGGUGCGGGUAUCGAACAGGAUUAGAUACCCUGGUAGUCCGCACAGUAAACGAUGGAUGCCCGCUGUUGGUACCUGGUAUCAGCGGCUAAGCGAAAGCAUUAAGCAUCCCACCUGGGGAGUACGCCGGCAACGGUGAAACUCAAAGGAAUUGACGGGGGCCCGCACAAGCGGAGGAACAUGUGGUUUAAUUCGAUGAUACGCGAGGAACCUUACCCGGGCUUGAAUUGCAGAGGAAGGAUUUAGAGAUAAUGACGCCCUUCGGGGCCUCUGUGAAGGUGCUGCAUGGUUGUCGUCAGCUCGUGCCGUGAGGUGUCGGCUUAAGUGCCAUAACGAGCGCAACCCCUGUCUUUAGUUGCCAUCAGGUGAUGCUGGGCACUCUGGAGAUACUGCCACCGUAAGGUGUGAGGAAGGUGGGGAUGACGUCAAAUCAGCACGGCCCUUACGUCCGGGGCUACACACGUGUUACAAUGGGGGGUACAGAAGGCCGCUACCCGGCGACGGGAUGCUAAUCUUUAAAACCUCUCUCAGUUCGGAUCGGAGUCUGCAACUCGACUCCGUGAAGCUGGAUUCGCUAGUAAUCGCGCAUCAGCCAUGGCGCGGUGAAUACGUUCCCGGGCCUUGUACACACCGCCCGUCAAGCCAUGAAAGCCGGGGGUGCCUGAAGUCCGUGACCGCAAGGAUCGGCCUAGGGCAAAACUGGUGAUUGGGGCUAAGUCGUAACAAGGUAGCCGUACCGGAAGGUGCGGCUG